rnacentral:rRNA from 1 species
UUUCGAAUCAUUCACAAUGGGCGAAAGCCUGAUGGUGCGACGCCGCGUGAGGGAUGAAGGUCUUCGGAUUGUAAACCUCUGUCACCGGGGAAGAAACGCUUCAAGUUAACAGCUUGAAGCCUGACUUAACCCGGAGAGGAAGCAGUGGCUAACUCUGUGCCAGCAGCCGCGGUAAUACAGAGACUGCAAGCGUUAUUCGGAUUCACUGGGCGUAAAGGGUGCGCAGGCGGCCGGGUGUGUCAGAUGUGAAAUCCCGAGGCUUAACCUCGGAACUGCGUCUGAAACUACUCGGCUAGAGUAUUGGAGAGGGUAACGGAAUUCACGGUGUAGCAGUGAAAUGCGUAGAUAUCGUGAGGAACACCAGAGGCGAAGGCGGUUACCUGGACAAUUACUGACGCUCAGGCACGAAAGCAUGGGGAGCAAAAGGG